CAGCAGCCGCGGUAAUACCGGCGGCCCGAGUGGCGGUCACUAUUAUUGGGCUUAAAGCGUCCGUAGCCGGGUUGGGAAGUCCUCCGGGAAAUCUGGCCGCUUAAAGGUCCGAAUGCCGGAGGAUACUCCCAGCCUAGGGAGCGGGAGAGGCCGAGGGGAUUCCCGGAGGAGGGGGGAAAUCCUAUAAUCCCGGGAGGACCACCUGUGGCGAAGGCGCUCGGCUGGAACGCGUCCGACGGUGAGGGACGAAGGCCAGGGGAGCAAACCGGAUUAGAUACCCGGGUAGUCCUGGCUGUAAACGAUGCGGACUUUGUGUCGGACAAGCUAUGAGCUUGUCCGGUGCCGGAGGGAAACCGUUAAGUCCGCCGCCUGGGGAGUACGGCCGCAAGGCUGAAACUUAAAGGAAUUGGCGGG
rnacentral:rRNA from 1 species